rnacentral:rRNA from 1 species
UUUGGCGGCCAUAGCAAGUUGGUACCACUCCUUCCCAUCCCGAACAGGACAGUGAAACGACUUAGCGCCGAUGAUAGUGUGGAUGCCCAUGUGAAAGUAGGUCACCGCCAAAC